GCCGCUUCAAUAUCCACCUUAGCCAUUAGUGCCCCGUGCCCGGCCCUCCGUACCAGCUCGACCGCCCUGUCGAAUGAUGCGUAGGAGACCGAGCACAAGCCCUUGUCAAUAUCAUCAUUCACCGACUCCCCUUCUGGGUAGGAGAGGUGGUGAAUGAGCCUGAACUUCCCCGGUUCCUUCUUGGGAACCACCCCGAGUGGGGAAACCCUCAGACCCUCCAGUGGAGGAGCCGGGAACGGUCCUGCCAUCCUCCCCAACUUGACUUCCUUGCCCAGUUUUUCACACACCACACCCGGGAACUCAGCCACCG